rnacentral:lncRNA from 1 species
AAUUCAUAGUCAUGCUCCAUUACAGGGCAUCUCAGUUCACAAACUUAAUUCAUUUCACGAUUCUAGGAAAGAAGGCCACAUUAGGCCAAUGGAGUAGAAUUGAGUCCCAAUAAUGGAAUUCAAGAAUGGAAGCAAAAUUCUACCCAAUGCUUCUGUCCUGGAACUGAAUUGUUUACAAACAGAAAUGUCCAUGAACCAAGAAGUUGGAACUAUUAGUGAUGCUUUUAUGUUGAAAACAGUGAAAGCUAAGGAAAGAAAUAGACCAAAUCAGUAUGAGUACUAUGACUAAGCCGUAUGAUCCAAAGAUAAUGUAUCUAUUAAGUUUCCAGUGUAUUCUAGUCUUCUGCAGAGAGGAUGAUUCCACUUUGAAAGAAGCGAACAUUUUAUUAAAGUGAGAUUCCGGCACAGGGGGAACAACACAGAAAGCUGUGAUUGGAGACGACAGUUGGUUUACUGUUACCAUUUGAUCACAAAAUUUCUAUGCCAUCUGUGGGAAGCCACACAGGCAAAAAUGUGUCAUCACUUCUAAUAAUGAAAAGAAAAAACAGACAGAACGUGCUGGAAAAACAGACUGCUUUAAUUACCCUCUCACAAUGCUCCUGGAGAAUUUGGAGGAAAAGCAUUGUCCAUGCAAGUUGUUUAUACCAAGAAGCUUUGGAGAGAGGAGGCUAA